AGACAGAAAGGUAGCCAGGGAGAGCAAGUAGUCUCCUCUUUCCUCCGCCUAGGCCCGCCCAGCCCACAAACAACUCCUUCUCUGGUCUUUGCUUCUGCCUCCGCGGAAGCUCAAAGUCGAGACUCAGUGCGACACCCGCCUCACCAAUGCCGCUCCCUCCGAAGGGGAGGCCGCCGGACCCCGGACCAGCCCGACUGGACCAGACACAACUGAGCGGACAGACGGCUCAAAUGCAGAUAGGUCUUCGGCCCUGGGCUUGAGGCUAAACCGGCAACAGAAAACGAACAAAGACAAGAACACACCUCUGUGAUAAGAGCAAGGGCCACUUGGGCCAUUUGUUCCCGGCCCUCAACAACCGAGCUUGACGUCGUUAGCCCACUGCCACGUCGGCCCUUUGAACUUUCAGGCUCGGCUUCGCGGGCUCGGGAGAGAGCGGGACGGCCCUCCCUACUCCGGCCUCGUGCGCCGGCUGAUCGCGCUGACCGAAUCUCGGGUCAGGGCCCGGGUGGACUGGAGGGAGCCCCGGGGAGCAGCAGAAGCCUGUCGUAGAAAGGGCCUUGACUGUGGCCCUCCCUCCCAGACGGCUCCCCAAGAGCCAAAAGAAGGACUUCCUCCGAGACUCCCCUCCAGCCUCUGAGGGUCCCUCGGCUCCGACUUCCUCCGCCGCAAACCACGAGCACCGGGUUGCGAGGGAAGUGGAGAGAGUUGCCUGGAGGAGGGCUCAUUUUCACCACCCCACUGCUGAAAUCCCAGUUUGAAUCACUGCCUCGUCUUACCGGACAGACACCGAUCGCUCGGGAGUUCAAUCGACUCCGGACGGGAUCCGAUUUUCAUCUGCCUCCCCGGAGGCCAAGAAAAUCGAAGAUACUCUUCCUCAGGCGGGACGACGGCGACGGAGGAGAGAGGCCAAGGCCCUGCCCGGACCGGAGACCCCGGGCCCGGGCCCGGGCCACAGCGAACCUGAACCCCAAGUGGAGGGGGCCAGCGGCUGCCCCUGGGUGUUUGAGCCUGCAGGCUACUGGGUGAUGUAGUGUGAGCAGCCGCGUGAUCAGCCUCAAUGGGGUGUAGCCACCGAACCUGGAGGGGAGGCCCAGACCGCUUCUAGGUCAGCCCUGGGUUGCUUUCGGCCUAGCCACACUUGGUCGGGGUGCCGCUGGCCCCCCGGGCUCUUGGCGAGGGGACCCGAGAUUGGCCUGAAA